rnacentral:rRNA from 1 species
CCUACGGGAGGCAGCAGUGGGGAAUUUUCCGCAAUGGGCGAAAGCCUGACGGAGCAAUACCGCGUGAGGGAAGACUGCCUAUGGGUUGUAAACCUCUUUUUUCAGGGAGGAAUAAAUUGACGUGUACCUGAAGAAUAAGCAUCGGCUAACUCCGUGCCAGCAGCCGCGGUAAGACGGAGGAUGCAAGUGUUAUCCGGAAUUACUGGGCGUAAAGCGUCUGUAGGUUGUUUAAUAAGUCAACUGUUAAAUCUUGAGGCUUAACUUCAAAACAGCAGUCGAAACUAUUAGACUAGAGUAUAGUAGGGGUAAAGGGAAUUUCCAGUGGAGCGGUGAAAUGCGUAGAUAUUGGAAAGAACACCGAUGGCGAAAGCACUUUACUGGGCUAUUACUGACACUCAGAGACGAAAGCUAGGGUAGCAAAUGGGAUUAGAUACCCCAGUAGUCCUAGCUGUAAACAAUGGAUACUAGAUGUUGAACAGAUCGACCUGUGCAGUAUUAAAGCUAACGCGUUAAGUAUCCCGCCUGGGAAGUAUGCUCGCAAGAGUGAAACUCAAAGGAAUGACGG